AUGGUGUUAAGGAUUUUUUGGAUUACAUUUUUAAAAGAAGAUUUUUUUGGACAAAUUUGAUUUGAAAUGUCAUAGCUAUCCUCGUAAAAAAAAUCCUAAUUCCAUGCUUCUCACUCUUUCCCUCGAAUUCCAUGCUUUCAUUCUUGCCCUCGAUCUUCUCCUUUCCACUAUUUUUUCCUUGUCAGGUGGCAAACGAAUGGUUUGGACGUCGACUCAAUGAAUGAACUGACUAUGAUCGUUAGUCACAAACACGACCAACUUCAUUCUUCAUGUGAUCUCGUCUUCUAUGCGAUCUUCUCUCUAUCUCCUAUUUUUGCCACAUCUUCGAACGAAGGGUGAAAGGAAUCAGACAGAGGCAACUCAAUGUGGUGAGGGAGUUCGAAUAACGUGGCAAGGUACUUGUAUUCAUCUGUUCUUGGUUCAAAGGAAAAUAUACAGUACGUCUUUGUAGAUCCGUCCCUCACCUCUACCGGACACUCACAAGAAUCUCGAGUUUGAAACUUAUGCAGUAAAUUGAUGGUCUCAAAGAAUAACAAAAUAGUUCUUGCUCCUUUUAAUCCUGGGGGUCAUUGGGCACUGCUGGCCAUAAAUGCGUAUGAUGAUACAGUAUUCUACCUCGACUCACUAAGGACAACAUCGAAGUCAACUAUAAGAUACGUAACAGACACAGCAAUAGCGAUGUUUCAGUCACAAAAGAACAUUAAAAAAAGCAGAAAACAAACUUUAUGGCGAACGGUAAAGGCAAGUAUAAACAUUUAAAGUCAUUAUAUUUUGUAGACUACUAGCAAUUAGGAUUACUUUAUUAUUCAAAUUUGUUGAUUUUAUAUAGUGUCCUCUACAAGUCGGUAGUACUGAGUGUGGAUACUACGUCAUGAGGUAUAUGAGAGAAAUUGUGACUAGGGGAAGAAUUGUCAUAUCUGAUGCGAUUGAUACACGAAGAUCAUACUCACAGACAGAACUAGACGAGGUGCGAGUUGAGUUAGCUGACUUUCUGGGUUCGUACAUAUAAUUGUGACCAAUAUUUUGUGAUUCUGAAGUAGGAAUUUUUGUGUUGUGGCGCUUAUUAUGAUCUGAAACUUUAUGUAUAGAAACUUUAGAUGAUAAUUCUUUUGAAUUGUUCAUAUUGGAGGAGGGAGGGGGGGUUCAUUGGUAUACUUUUGAUUAGAUUUGUUAUAGCUAGCAUGUUUUGUG